GGUUAAGCGACUAAGCGUACACGGUGGAUGCCCUGGCAGUCAGAGGCGAUGAAGGACGUGCUAAUCUGCGAUAAGCGUCGGUAAGGUGAUAUGAACCGUUAUAACCGGCGAUUUCCGAAUGGGGAAACCCAGUGUGAUUCGUCACACUAUCAUUAACUGAAUCCAUAGGUUAAUGAGGCGAACCGGGGGAACUGAAACAUCUAAGUACCCCGAGGAAAAGAAAUCAACCGAGAUUCCCCCAGUAGCGGCGAGCGAACGGGGAGGAGCCCAGAGCCUGAAUCAGUGUGUGUGUUAGUGGAAGCGUCUGGAAAGGCGCGCGAUACAGGGUGACAGCCCCGUACACAAAAAUGCACAUGCUGUGAGCUCGAUGAGUAGGGCGGGACACGUGGUAUCCUGUCUGAAUAUGGGGGGACCAUCCUCCAAGGCUAAAUACUCCUGACUGACCGAUAGUGAACCAGUACCGUGAGGGAAAGGCGAAAAGAACCCCGGCGAGGGGAGUGAAAAAGAACCUGAAACCGUGUACGUACAAGCAGUGGGAGCACGCUUAGGCGUGUGACUGCGUACCUUUUGUAUAAUGGGUCAGCGACUUAUAUUCUGUAGCAAGGUUAACCGAAUAGGGGAGCCGAAGGGAAACCGAGUCUUAACUGGGCGUUAAGUUGCAGGGUAUAGACCCGAAACCCGGUGAUCUAGCCAUGGGCAGGUUGAAGGUUGGGUAACACUAACUGGAGGACCGAACCGACUAAUGUUGAAAAAUUAGCGGAUGACUUGUGGCUGGGGGUGAAAGGCCAAUCAAACCGGGAGAUAGCUGGUUCUCCCCGAAAGCUAUUUAGGUAGCGCCUCGUGAAUUCAUCUCCGGGGGUAGAGCACUGUUUCGGCAAGGGGGUCAUCCCGACUUACCAACCCGAUGCAAACUGCGAAUACCGGAGAAUGUUAUCACGGGAGACACACGGCGGGUGCUAACGUCCGUCGUGAAGAGGGAAACAACCCAGACCGCCAGCUAAGGUCCCAAAGUCAUGGUUAAGUGGGAAACGAUGUGGGAAGGCCCAGACAGCCAGGAUGUUGGCUUAGAAGCAGCCAUCAUUUAAAGAAAGCGUAAUAGCUCACUGGUCGAGUCGGCCUGCGCGGAAGAUGUAACGGGGCUAAACCAUGCACCGAAGCUGCGGCAGCGACGCUUAUGCGUUGUUGGGUA
rnacentral:rRNA from 1 species